GUGUUUAAUUCAGUAUAGGAAAUAAAUACACUGCAAGUGCCAAAAAUAUCUGAUGAUUUCAUUUUUGCUGUGAAAACAACUACUUCUGCCGAUAAUCGAAGAAUCUGCUAAGAUACUGUAUUUCAGUUGCUAUCAUCAUCAUGUCUGGAUUUCUAGACACAGUGCAGUGUCCUCGCCCGGAGUGCUGUGAUGCUAUACCUGAGAAACGCAACUUUAUUUCUUCUAUUGCAGCUGGCAUUCUUUUCUUUGGAGGAUGGUGGGUGAUCAUUGAUGCUGCUGUUGUGUUUCCAGAUAACAGUGAAAUGAAGCAUGCCUACCAUGCGUGCGGUGUGGUGUCUACUAUAGCAUUCUUCAUGAUAAACGCAGUAUCUAGUGGGCAGGUCAGAGGAGAAUCUUACAAUGAAGGAUGUAUGGGACAAACUGGUGCAAGAAUUUGGCUUUUCGUUGGAUUUGUGCUGUCUUUUGCUGGGUUGAUUGCAUCAAUGUGGAUCCUUUUUGAAGACUACGUUGUUAAUCCCAAGAAUAACCCAGACGCUCUAAAUGCCUAUCCCGGUGUGGCCGUUUUCUUGCAAAAUUUCCUGAUUUUCAUUGGAGGACUCAUCUUCAAAUUUGGGAGAACAGAAGAUUUAUAUGAUUGAAGGAAUACAAAAAGUAAUUUCUCUUUAUGAAAGUUGUUAAUGAGGUCUUGGUUAUUAUAUCUGACUUGCCCAUAGAUUUUAGUUAUUUUUCAUAUUGCUGUUCUAAUAUUCUCUAUGGAAUAAUUUGGUCUUUUAUGACAAGGUGUCACUAAUUGUUAUGAAGUAUAAUGGAUUAUCAGUUUUACUUUAACAGAUGUUGCAGAAUAUACCCUGAAUUUGAAGUUAAAAUUCUGUAUUUCAAUGUUUCAGAUGAGUCCUGCAAUAUACAGGGAACCCUCCACCCCUUUCAACGUUCAUCAUUUAUGUGCAGCACAUUACCAUUCCUUAUCAAAGUACAUAAAAAAUAUUUAUUAUCAACUAUUUAGAAUAAAUUGUUCCAAUUGACAAAACUUUCCAAAAAUGUUCAGAUUUUUUGUCGUCCAAAUUUUGAGAUGAGAACUUUUUGGCCAAGAAUCCUCACAUCAAGCAGUAUGAUUGAGGAUUAAGGUGAAGCAUUUCCCUGGAAAUUCAUAUAAUCUGCAAAGUGAGAUUUUGUUCAAGAUAACACUGCCUAGAUCCACACACAAAAAAAUAUUACAUUUCUUUUGUUUCUAUGUACUAAAAGUAUAGUCAAAUUAAAAAACAGGUAUUUUUUUCCAACUUUGAAAGAAAAACUUUUUUGUAUUUGGAUUUCUUUUAUUUUACAGAAGGGACUUUGGAGGAUGAUAAAAGGUUAAAAUUUCUGUUGGAAUUUGUUCUGGGUCUGACCCAGAAUUUUCACAAAGUGACUUCAAUUCACAAAUCAAACAUGAUUAUGAAUAUAUUUGGACUUUCUGGUCAGCAUUUAGUGGUUAUACCGAAUCAUGUUGUAGAUGUGGUAAAGUUUGAUCCCCUGGUGAAUAAUAGGUAUUGCUCCUCAAUCAACGGGAUAUUUUUUUAAACCAUUUCAUCUACCUGCCUGAUAUUCCCACAAUCUGUUUUCCCUGUUGUUUUAAAUGUUAUCUUCCCCUCUUUGCCCCUCUCCCCAACAAUUCUAAAAAUAUGUUUGAUGACUCUACAUGUAUUAUUUAUAUGUCUGAAUAAGUAUUCACAGAAAAUCUUACACAACUAGAAAUUUUGUGUUUUACAGGUGAAAUACUUUACAUGUCAUGUUUAUUGCAGUCUUGAAAGAAGGGUUAUAUCCUCUUUAAAAAAAAAAUGUAUAGUAUUAUUGUUUUAUCAUGUCAAAAUAUACAGGUUUAUAGUUUUCAUAUAUUUAAUUUAUUAGUCAUUGAAUAUUUAUGAGGAGAUGGUAUGGUGUACUAAUGUUUUGCUGAGGUUAAGGGUCAUGAGUCAGUUUCAUGACAUUUGCUCUGGCGACAAUUGCUCUGAUGGAAAAUCUGCAGGUUAAGCCAAACUAUCCUUGAAAACUAAAUGAACCCUAAUCCUUAUCUUACUAAUAUGGACCAUUUAUAUAGCGCAGCUACUAUAUUGAAAUACUCUACUGUGCUUUACAUUUGGUAUAAAAAUAUUAUUACCCCGGCUGUAGCCGAGCCGCCAUUGGCGCUCAAGCAUCCGAGGAAUUGGGUACCCAUUCACCUCACCUGGUUUGAGUGCAGCACGAUGUGCUUACACUAUUCUGAACCAAAAACUCUGUUACUAUCCUAACUCUAAUCCUUUGUCCACUUAAUUAUUAAGACUGGAGCAAAUGUCGCAGGAGCAAUUGUCGUCACCCUUGCGUCAUUAGACUCGAUGCUAAAAAGGAUAUUCAUGUAUAUUUCAUAAAUUUUUUUAUGUCACAGAGGAGAUGAGCUGAUAUGUAACAAACAGUGAGAGCUUGUGUGACGAGUACAAUAAAGGUUUUAAUGAACAGGUACAUGUAUAUUUAUUUCAAAUCUCAUAAUUGAAAUUAAUACUUCUAUUUUUAUUAAUACAUUACAUAUGGAAAGAGUUUAGAUUUCAAUAUAUAGAAAUAAAUCUAAGGGGAAUCCAACCCCAAAGGGCGUUUUUUUCUUGAAGAUUUGAGGACUCUUCCUUUCUAAAGUGGAAAUCACUUACUUUUCCUUCCGGAAUUUGAAAUGGUGAAAUAUGUAAUGCUAUUCGGAUGUUGUGUAAACCAAGUUUCUGAAUUUGCUACAAUUUAUAAAAUGAAAAAAAAAAAUUUUCAUUGUUUUUCUAAAGUUCAACUCAAUUGAUAUUUCUAAUUUCAAAACCUAUAAUUAUAUACAUGUAAUUCAUUUAUGUACAAUACACAUGUUUGAAGAUAUGAUUUUCAUUCAUCUAAUAAUUUCCAGCUCCCUGUUGCAUUUUUUUAUCCUACAAUGCCACUCAAUUAAUUUACAAAAUGCAUUAGAGAGGACUGCAAAAUAGAAACAUUGAGUUAUAUUAUGUCUUUGUAAAUAAAUCAUUUACAUAUAUUUGUAGAAUCUAGAUUGAAUAUCAAUCAACUUUCAAGUUCCAUGUGCAAGGUAAAUAAGUCUUUUUGUAGUAUUGUAUUUAUGCAAGAUGUGAAUAUACCACCUUCUUUAUGUCAUAUUAAAUGAAGAUGAAUGUACAAAUGUAGGCACAUAUCAGAGCCUAAAUGAGAGUAUCAAGCCAAUCUGGUUUGCUAUCUUAAACCAUUAUUACUGCAUAAAGACAUCUUUAUGUUUUUCAAUAAAUUGCUUUAUUUUAUGGUGAAGGUUUUCAUGUGCAUUAAUUAAGAUGUUUUAAAACAUGCUGACUUUGGAAAGGCAGUUCAUGUUGGGCGCUGGUGUUGAAUGUCGUCUUCAGAACCGAGUGUUACAGCUGGUGUUGACGAUCUAUGUGUAAUUUCCCCAUGCACCAUCACCUACCCCUAUGGAUUGGGGAAACCAUUAUUUCAAUUUUUCUGUGUUGGUGUUAGUGAUCUCAAGAUCAUGAGCCAAAUAAACACAUCACAGUAAAUUUAGGUUUUUAAAGUUAAGUCGAGUGGAAGUUAUCAACGCUUUAUACAUUUCAAUGUUAUCUCAAUUGUUGCUUCUUUGGGUUUCCUGGGACCUGUUGCAUAAAACUUUUGCCAUAAAAAAACUCUGGCAAACAAAAUUAUACCAUUAAAAAUUACACAUUAAAAAAUUUUAUGUCAAAAAGAGAAGAAAUUUAUGGCAAAAGUUUUAUGCAAUGAGCCACUGAAGUAAGUUUUAAUUUUGCAUUCUCUACAAAGAGAUUUUCGGCAUUUCUCCCCGAUUCCAUCAAUUUUUAUCAUCAAGACUUCUUGCACGAGUUUAGAUUGUUGGACAAAGGUGCGACAUUAUGAGCUGUUGAUAAUACCAUCGUAUCAUCUUUCUAAACUAGUUGGCGUUGGGAGCUCGGUUCAGCAGCCUUUAUCUCACUCUCAACACAAUUGCUGUACUUGAAAUUAACCCAUUGUAUAUUUGGCAUGCACCAUAUAGCCCGGGCACCAUAGCAGCGAUCAGAAUGGUACUCCAAAGUUGAAGUCUUUGAGAAAGUGUGGUACACCAUUAAAACAAUGGAAGUAUGUUACGGUUCAGGAUUUGUGACCAUGAUUAAAACACUAAAUUCCUUCCUACACAUUGUGGCUGGAAUGGAAUUCAAUGUCAAGUUUUAGGACUUUCUGAUGAGGAUUUAUGUAGAGAUAUGGAUGUAUUGUAGAUAUUGAUGGUUUAAAGCAGUUAAUGCUUCAGGUGAUCACUUGUUCUUUAAUAAAUUGAAUAAUUCAACAAAAA